rnacentral:rRNA from 1 species
AACGAACGCUGGCGGCAUGCCUAACACAUGCAAGUCGAACGAGACCUUCGGGUCCAGUGGCGCACGGGUGCGUAACGCGUGGGAACCUUCCCUUAGGUUCGGAAUAACUCCCCGAAAGGGGUGCUAAUACCGGAUAAUUUCUUCGGCCCAAAGAUGUAUCGCCUUUGGAUGGGCCCGCGUUGGAUUAGCUAGUUGGUAGGGUAAAAGCCUACCGAGGCUACGUUCCAUAGCUGGUCUGAGAGGAUGAUCAGCCACACUGGGACUGAGACACGGCCCAGACUCCUACGGGAGGAAGCAGGGGGGAAUAUGGGACAACGGGCGAGAGACUGAUGCAGCAGUGCCGCGUGAGUGAUGAAGGCGUUAGGGUUGUAAAGCUCUUUUAACCGGGAUGAUAAUGACAGUACCGGGAGAAUAAGCGCCGGCUAACUCCGUG